AUUGAACGCUGGCGGCAGGCCUAACACAUGCAAGUCGAACGAGUGGCGGACGGGUGAGUAAUGUCUGGGAAACUGCCUGAUGGAGGGGGAUAACUACUGGAAACGGUAGCUAAUACCGCAUACCAUCGGAUGUGCCCAGAUGGGAUUAGCUAGUGGGUGGGGUAAAGGCUCACCUAGGCGACGAUCCCUAGCUGGGCGGAGAGGAUGACCGGCCACACGGGAACUGAGACACGGCCCAGACUCUUACGGGAGGAAGAAGGGGGGAAUAUUGCACAAUGGGCGCAAGCCUGAUGCAGCCAUGCCGCGUGGAUGAAGAAGGCCUUCGGGUUGUAAAGUACGUUCAGCGGGGAGGCGUUACCCGCAGAAGAAGCACCGGCUAACUCCGUGCCAGCAGCCGCGGUAAUAC
rnacentral:rRNA from 1 species